rnacentral:rRNA from 1 species
UACGAAGGGGGCUAGCGUUGCUCGGAAUCACUGGGCGUAAAGCGCACGUAGGCGGACUCUUAAGUCGGUGGUGAAGUCCUGGAGCUCAACUCCAGAACUGCCUUCGAUACUGAGAGUCUCGAGUCCGAGAGAGGUGAGUGGAACUGCGAGUGUAGAGGUGAAAUUCGUAGAUAUUCGCAAGAACACCAGUGGCGAAGGCGGCUCACUGGCUCGGUACUGACGCUGAGGUGCGAAAGCGUGGGGAGCAAACAGG